rnacentral:rRNA from 1 species
AUUGAACGCUGGCGGCAUGCCUAACACAUGCAAGUCGAGCGGAGCGGCGGACGGGUGAGUAAUGCCUAGGAAUCUGCCUGGUAGUGGGGGAUAACGACCGGAAACGGGCGCUAAUACCGCAUACUAUCAGAUCAGCCUAGGUCGGAUUAGCUAGUUGGUGGGGUAAUGGCUUACCAAGGCGACGAUCCGUAGCUGGUCUGAGAGGAUGAUCAGUCAAACUGGAACUGAGACACGGUCCAGACUCCUACGGGAGGCAGCAGUGGGGAAUAUUGGACAAUGGGCGAAAGCCUGAUCCAGCCAUGCCGCGUGUGUGAAGAAGGUCUUCGGAUUGUAAAGCACUUUAAGUAGGGAGGCGUUACCAACAGAAUAAGCACCGGCUAACUACGUGCCAGCAGCCGCGGUAAUAC